rnacentral:rRNA from 1 species
AGGGUGUAAACGCUGCAGACUUGGUGUUGGAAGUCCUUUGGGGGCAUUCAGUGCCGGAGAGAAAUUGUUAAGUCUGCUACUUGGGGAGUACGUCCGCAAGGAUGAAACUUAAAGGAAUUGGCGGGGGAGCACCGCAACGGGAGGAGCCUGCGGUUUAAUUGGACUCAACGCCGGACAACUCACCGGGAACGACAGCAAUAUGUAGGCCAGGCUGAAGACCUUGCCUGAAUCGCUGAGAGGAGGUGCAUGGCGUAGACGUCU